rnacentral:rRNA from 1 species
GAUGAACGCUGGCGGCGUGCCUAAUACAUGCAAGUCGAGCGAACGGACGAGAAGCUUGCUUCUCUGAUGUUAGCGGCGGACGGGUGAGUAACACGUGGAUAACCUACCUAUAAGACUGGGAUAACUUCGGGAAACCGGAGCUAAUACCGGAUAAUAUUUUUAACCGCAUGGUUCCAAAGUGAAAGACGGUCUUGCUGUCACUUAUAGAUGGAUCCGCGCUGCAUUAGCUAGUUGGUAAGGUAACGGCUUACCAAGGCAACGAUGCAUAGCCGACCUGAGAGGGUGAUCGGCCACACUGGAACUGAGACACGGUCCAGACUCCUACGGGAGGCAGCAGUAGGGAAUCUUCCGCAAUGGGCGAAAGCCUGACGGAGCAACGCCGCGUGAGUGAUGAAGGUCUUCGGAUCGUAAAACUCUGUUAUUAGGGAAGAACAUAUGUGUAAGUAACUGUGCACAUCUUGACGGUACCUAAUCAGAAAGCCACGGCUAACUACGUG